GGGUUUCCAUACAAAAAUUUAUUUUAUUAAAAAGACUGGCCAAGAAUUAUUAAAAAAUAAAUAAAUAAACAACAACCAACACAGGCAGGCAUUGGUCAAAUAAAACGGUCACAAGAAGAAUUUAACAAUAAUCAUAGGAGGACUGAGGCUUCCUGUAUGAAGAGCAAGCUAGUACGACAGCACCAGCUAUACAAAAGGGAAAAGAACCCCACCAAUCAGAAUCAUACCCACAAAAUUCACUGCAAAUAAACACAGCAAUAAUAAAAACACAAGAAAAAUCAAUUACAAUAUGCUCAAAGCAGGCAAACAAAAGAAUAAAAAAAAUUUUUUUUAAAAAGACAAAACAAAAACAACUGUCACAAAAACACAAAGAUAACACAGAGCUCAAAAUGAUUACUGGUAGCAAGUUUUCCAAGACUGGCCAAAACCACUGUUACUGCAUAGCGGUAUCAGCACAAUUGAUAAAGACUAAACACAGAUGAAUUUGAGAAACUGGGCUUAGUGACAGUAACCAACACAAAGCAAAACAAAGAAAAACAAUGCAAAGCAGCCCAAAACAGCAAAAUAAAGCAACGUUUCUCCGCAAGUGAGCUAUACCGAAACAAACACACCUCACUCUGCCUGCCUUAACACAUGCAAAAUUGAGGACCCUAAGAACAACAAACAGGUGUUACAACCUCAAUUUGGAAAGCAUGCUAGAUCAUUUAGCUCGAAUAAUAGAACUAAACGAUUUACCUACCGUGAUCCGAUGAUAUAAUACUCACGAUGGCACAUACUAAAAUCAUGAUAGCUUCUUUAAUAGUUGUGACAGCAACAGCUGGCGCUCCGAUCGGGGCUACGUUAAACUGCCAUGCUACACAGAUGGGAGCCUUGACGGCACACCGCACUGAGAGUGAGCAGCACACCACCCAUGCACACAGUCUCGGUAGCCCAACAUCACACUAAACAAGUAAAUCGCAUGGUAAGUGGUCAAUGCUAGCAUCAAACAGCUAAGCUAAAAAACUAAAAACAUGUACCUCUGUAGUCUGAGAAUAAACCCUGGUCAAACAAGGAGUUAAAAAAAAAAACCUGAAUAUGGCACUGUGGUGAAUAGGCACGUUAUCUGGUUGUCAUAGUAACCACACCUAUAUUGAAUGAUGCCUUGGUUCACUUUCAUUGUGCAACUACAGCACAAUGAAAGUUGAAGGCAACAUGUGUAUACACAAAGGUUAGAUUGACUCUGAUGUAAGUGGACAUUGAUAUGCAACCCCAAUUCCAAAAAAGUUGGAACAGUGUGGAAAAUGCAAUAUAUAUAUAUAUACACAUGUUUCAUGAAUACAUACAAUCAAGUGAAAAAACAAGUACAUCCAUUGGAAAUUUUUUACAAAAAAA
ensembl:lncRNA